UGGUGAUUAUGGUGGAGGUGUUAUACCCGUUCCCUUUUCGAACACGGAAGUCAAGCCCUCUUACGCCGAUGAUACUG
rnacentral:rRNA from 1 species